GAUGAACGCUAGCUACAGGCUUAACACAUGCAAGUCGAGGGGAAACGACAUCGAAAGCUUGCUUUUGAUGGGCGUCGACCGGCGCACGGGUGAGUAACGCGUAUCCAACCUGCCCACCACUUGGGGAUAACCUUGCGAAAGUAAGACUAAUACCCAAUGAUAUCUCUAGAAGGCAUCUGAAGGAGAUUAAAGAUUUAUCGGCAAUGGAUGGGGAUGCGUCCGAUUAGCUUGUUGGCGGGGUAACGGCCCACCAAGGCAACGAUCGGUAGGGGUUCUGAGAGGAACGGUCCCCCACAUUGGAACUGAGACACGGUCCAAACUCCUACGGGAGGCAGCAGUGAGGAAUAUUGGUCAAUGGGCGAGAGCCUGAACCAGCCAAGUAGCGUGCAGGAUGACGGCCCUAUGGGUUGUAAACUGCUUUUAUGCGGGGAUAAAGUGGGCCACGCGUGGCCUUUUGCAGGUACCGCAUGAAUAAGGACCGGCUAAUUCCGUGCCAGCAG
rnacentral:rRNA from 1 species